rnacentral:misc_RNA from 1 species
GAUGAAGAACGCAGCAAAAUGCGAUAAGUAAUGUGAAUUGCAGAAUUCAGUGAAUCAUCGAAUCUUUGAACGCACAUUGCGCCCGCCAGUAUUCUGGCGGGCAUGCCUGUUCGAGCGUCAUUUCAACCCUCAAGCUCAGCUUGGUGUUGGGACUCGCGGUAACCCGCGUUCCCCAAAUCGAUUGGCGGUCACGUCGAGCUUCCAUAGCGUAGUAAUCAUACACCUCGUUACUGGUAAUCGUCGCGGCAACGCCGUAAAACCCCAACUUCUGAAUGUUGACCUCGGAUCAGGUAGGAAUACCCGCUGAACUUAAGCAUAUCAAUAAGCGGAGGA